rnacentral:rRNA from 1 species
GUCUUGAAGUAAAAUUUUCAAGUCGAAUCUGCCCACUGAUUAAUUUUUAAGAGCCGCAAUAAUUUGUGCAAAGGUAGCAUAAUGGAUUGUCCUUUAAUUGAGGUCUGGAAUGAAAGAUUUAAUGGUCUCAAUAUUAUAAAAUUUAAAAUAUAAAAAUUUUAAUUUUUAAUUAGAAUGUUAAAAUUUUUUAGGGGGACGAGAAGACCCUAAGAUUUUUAUAAACUAUAUUAAAGAUAAUUUUUAGUUUAUUUAAUUGGGGAAAUUAGAAAAUGAAACUUUUUUGCUCUUUAUAAAUCAAUUUAAGUGAAUAAACAAAGAAUAAAAUUAAAACAAGUAAGUUACCUUAGGGAUAACAGCGUAAUAAUAAAUUAGAAGAUGAAAUUUAAAUUUAUGAUUUCGACCUCGAUGUUGAAUUAAGGUUUAUUUCAUUUAGUAGAAUUUAUGAAAUUUAGUCUGUUCGACUAUUUAACCUU